UGGGGAAUUUUGGACAAUGGGGGAAACCCUGAUCCAGCCAUCCCGCGUGUGCGAUGAAGGCCUUCGGGUUGUAAAGCACUUUUGGCAGGAAAGAAACGUCAUGGGUUAAUACCCCGUGAAACUGACGGUACCUGCAGAAUAAGCACCGGCUAACUACGUGCCAGCAGCCGCGGUAAUACGUAGGGUGCAAGCGUUAAUCGGAAUUACUGGGCGUAAAGCGUGCGCAGGCGGUUCGGAAAGAAAGAUGUGAAAUCCCAGAGCUCAACUUUGGAACUGCAAUUUUAAACACCCGGGUUGAGGGGGUCAGAGGGAGGUGGAAUUCCGCGUGUAGCAGUGAAAUGCGUAGAUAUGCGGAGGAACACCGAUGGCGAAGGCAGCCUCCUGGGAUAACACUGACGCUCAUGCACGAAAGCGUGGGGAGCAAACAGG
rnacentral:rRNA from 1 species